CUCUCAUUCUCUCUCUCUCUUUCUCUCUCUCUCCUCCAAAUUUCUUAAAGUUUCAUGAAUCCAUAAGAGAGAAAAAAGAGAGAAAAACUUUCAUGGAAGUUUACUUUCAAACUUGAUAAAUGAAGGAUUUAAAGUUCAAAUCAAAAUUCUAAAUCGAUUAAAGUCUUCUUCUCAUCUUUCUUUUCAUCCUCAUACCAAUUUUCUGAAGAAAAUCCUAUCUAGAAGCCUCAAGGAACAAAGAACCAUCAAUUUCUAACUUGAAAGGUGAAGAAAAUCUCUUUCUCUUUGUUAAAGAAGGUUCGAUUUGAUGGAGCAUUAAAGGAGUAAUCAUACUUUGUUCUAUUCCUUUAUCAUGCUCUAGAUAUUAUAAGAAAUUCAAAGCCACAAUUCUCAAACUCAAAGGGUGAAAUAUCAUCCAUCAACAUUGAUCCUCCAAGCAACAAUGCUGGAAAUUCUUCUCAACAACCAUUUAUCAUCAAUCAACGAUCCUUCACACUUAUUUCUGAUAAAUCGGGUGAAAACAAUAAGAAAAUUUGGCUGCAGCAAGAUCUAGCUGCUAUUAGAGAAGAAGAUCUAGAAGAACACCUAUAUGCAGAUCGAGUUCCAUCCCAACAAUCAUCAACAGCAACACAAGGUUCCUCCACAAACACAACAACUUACAAGUAAUGGUGUCAAGAUUAUCAAAAUUUAAAAUUCACCUAAUUUUAAAGGAUAUAAAUGCCUCUCUUCUAGUGAAAAAAUGUACAUUUCAAGAAGUGUUCAUUUUGAUGAAACUCAAUUUUCAUAUUCUGAAUUAUUCACUAAUACCUCUACUGAUAGAAUUAUAACUAAUGACACUGAUAAUCAUGAUUUUGCAUCCUCUUUCACCAAACACUCUUUACUGCAUACAGAUCAUCAUCGUAUUACUACUGAUAAUACUACUUCUAAAUCAAACACUAGCCACAUUAAUUCUCAAAUUGAUUGUCUUGAUAUUACUGAGAAUGACAUUAAUAAUCAAUUACAUAAUUCUGAUUUACCCCUAAAUUCCUCCCAAAUUCCAAUUUCAAGCAUAGAAAUACAACACCCUGCCUUAGAUACUGAUGCCAUUGAACUAGAUUUACCUCAUAUUAAACGUUGUGCACUUAAUGCUAAUAAACACUUUGGUUACUAGGUCUAAGGCUAACAACAACAAUCCCAAAGUCUUAAAUUCUAUCAUUACUUCCCCUUAUUACACACAACAUUCACCAAAAUCUGCUAAAAUAGCAGUUACUAUACCUCAUUGGCAUAAGUCAUGAUGGAAAAAUAUCAAACCCUUAUGAAAGCUAAGAUAUGGAUUGUAGUUCCACCACCACAUCAUGCUAAACUUACAGGCAGUAAAUGAAUUUUUACCAUUAAGAAGCAUCCAGAUGAAAUUAUACAAAGUACAAAGUUAGACUUAUUGCUCAAGGCUUUCAUUGAGAAGAAGGCUUUGAUUUUGAGCAAGUCUUUAGUCCUGUAAUUUGGUCAUCUACAAUUCGAUUAGUUUUGAGCAUAGUUUUAUCUAAAAACUAGAUUUUGAGGUAGUUUGAUUUUAAUAAUGCAUUUCUAAAUGGGGAUUUAAAUCAAAUCUUAUAUAUGCAUCAACUAGUUGGUUUUGAACAAAUUCUAUCUAAAUAUGUUUGCAAAUUGCAUAAAUCCAUUUAUGGAUUGAAACAGGCCCUAGGCAAUGGUUUACUAAACUAAGUACUACUCGUUACUCCUAAAUCUGACACAUCUUUAUUUGUUAAACACAAUUCUAGUUCAGUUAUAUAUCUUUUGUGCUAUGUAGAUGACAUAAUCAUUACAGGGAACAAUGCUAGUAAAGUUCAAUCCUUAAUCAAUUCACUAGAUAAAGUGUUUUCUUUGAAAGAUUUAGGAAAUUUAAAAUUUUUUUGGGCAUUGAGAUUCAAAGAACCAAUUUAGGACAACUACAUCUCUCAUAAACAAAGUAUAUCACUGAGUUGUUAACAAAAUUGGGAAUGGCAUGAUCCAAUUCAAUGCUUACUCCAAUGAUCUAUUCCCUUCAACUCCUCUCAACAGGCUUAGAUACCCUUGAAGAUCCUAAUCUCUUCAGAACAAUGAUUGGAUCUUUGCAAUACUUAACCAUCACAAGACCAAAUGUGGCAUAUGCAGUGAGCAAGAUUAGUCAAUUCAUGCAUUCACUCUUCUUGCUCACUAGAAAGCUGAUAAACGAGUUCUAAGAUACCUUCAAUGAACUAAAGAGCAUGGACUUAUGAUACAUAGAUGCCAGAAUUAUAGACUAUAUAGUUUUUCAGAUUCAAACUGGGCAACUGAUCUUGAAGAUCGCAAGUUUGUUUCUGAUUUUUGUGUGUUUUCAGGUACUAAUCUAAUUUCUUGGACAUACAGAAAAUAACACACAAUUAGCAGAUCGUCUAUAGAGGCAGAAUUUCAAAGCCUUGCAUCAUGUGAAGCUGAGUUGGAGUGGCUCAAAAACUUGCUCUUAGAGUUAUAAAUUCUUCUCAAGACA